UUUGGUUUGUCACGUGUGGUUGGCUGCGGCGUUUGCAACAACUUCCAUGCUUUCAGACCUCUUCAGUUGUGCGGCAAGGCUUGUAUCGCCUUGCCGUAUUGUGGGUUUUCUGUGUUGAAUACCUAAUCAAUGGUAUCGGUUGGAUUGAUCAAUGUUUNAUUUCGUCUGUNGUCGCAUUCGCGGCGUGAGANGAACCUUGAUGCGGUCUCUUUGGNCCACCUCGUCGAAGCACAUGCUUUGACGUUGUGGCACAUUGAGCAUUGCUUGGUCUCUUGUAUACGGAACAUAUAGUGGGCAUGGAUCUAACGAUUCUUAUUUGCCCUCAUGUUAGCGUAACGCUUCUCUUACACGACUUGCUCCACGUUUUAG
rnacentral:misc_RNA from 1 species